UACGUAGGGUCCGAGCGUUGUCCGGAGUUACUGGGCGUAAAGGGCUCGUAGGCGGCCAACUAAGUCAGACGUGAAAUCCCUCGGCUUAACCGGGAACUGCGUCUGAUACUGGAUGGCUUGAGAUUGGGAGAGGGAUGGCGGAAUUCCAGGUGUAGCGGUGAAAUUCGUAGAUAUUCGGAAGAACACCCGUGGCGAAGGCGGCCAGCUGGGUGCACCUGACACUGAGCGCGAAGGCGUGGGAGCG
rnacentral:rRNA from 1 species